UACGUAGGUGGCAAGCGUUGUCCGGAUUUACUGGGCGUAAAGGGUGCGCAGGCGGUUAUAUAAGACAGAUGUGAAAUCCCCGGGCUCAACCUGGGAACUGCGUUUGUGACUGUAUGACUAGAGUACGGUAGAGAGGGGUGGAAUUCCUGGUGUAGCAGUGAAAUGCGUAGAUAUCAGGAGGAACAUCGAUGGCGAAGGCAGCCCCUUGGACCUGUACUGACGCUCAUGCACGAAAGCGUGGGGAGCAAACAGG
rnacentral:rRNA from 1 species